GACGAACGCUGGCGGCGUGCUUAACACAUGCAAGUCGAACGGAAAGGCCCUUCGGGGUACUCGAGUGGCGAACGGGUGAGUAACACGUGGGUGAUCUGCCCUGCACUUUGGGAUAAGCCUGGGAAACUGGGUCUAAUACCGAAUAGGACCACGCGCUUCAUGGUGUGUGGUGGAAAGCUUUUGCGGUGUGGGAUGGGCCCGCGGCCUAUCAGCUUGUUGGUGGGGUAAUGGCCUACCAAGGCGACGACGGGUAGCCGGCCUGAGAGGGUGACCGGCCACACUGGGACUGAGAGACGGCCCAGACUCCUACGGGAGGCAGCAGUGGGGAAUAUUGCACAAUGGGCGCAAGCCUGAUGCGGCGACGCCGCGUGAGGGAUGACGGCCUUCGGGUUGUAAACCUCUUUCACCAGGGACGAAGCGUAAGUGACGGUACCUGGAGAAGAAGCACCGGCCAACUACGUG
rnacentral:rRNA from 1 species